UACGAAGGGGGCUAGCGUUGCUCGGAAUUACUGGGCGUAAAGGGCGCGUAGGCGGCACUGUUAGUCAGGCGUGAAAGUCCUGGGCUCAACCUGGGAACUGCGCUUGAUACGGCAGAGCUAGAGGAUGGAAGAGGGUCGCGGAAUUCCCAGUGUAGAGGUGAAAUUCGUAGAUAUUGGGAAGAACACCGGUGGCGAAGGCGGCGACCUGGUCCGUGACUGACGCUGAGGCGCGAAAGCGUGGGGAGCAAACAGG
rnacentral:rRNA from 1 species